rnacentral:rRNA from 1 species
UAUCGUACCUUGUUGCUUCGGCGGGCCCGCCGUUUCGACGGCCGCCGGGGAGGCCUUGCGCCCCCGGGCCCGCGCCCGCCGAAGACCCCAACAUGAACGCUGUUCUGAAAGUAUGCAGUCUGAGUUGAUUAUCGUAAUCAGUUAAAACUUUCAACAACGGAUCUCUUGGUUCCGGCAUCGAUGAAGAACGCAGCGAAAUGCGAUAAGUAAUGUGAAUUGCAGAAUUCAGUGAAUCAUCGAGUCUUUGAACGCACAUUGCGCCCCCUGGUAUUCCGGGGGGCAUGCCUGUCCGAGCGUCAUUGCUGCCCUCAAGCACGGCUUGUGUGUUGGGCCCCCGUCCCCCUCUCCCGGGGGACGGGCCCGAAAGGCAGCGGCGGCACCGCGUCCGGUCCUCGAGCGUAUGGGGCUUUGUCACCUGCUCUGUAGGCCCGGCCGGCGCCAGCCGACACCCAACUUUAUUUUUCUAAGGUUGACCUCGGAUCAGGUAGGGAUACCCGCUGAACUUAAGCAUAU